rnacentral:rRNA from 1 species
UACGUAGGGUGCGAGCGUUGUCCGGAAUUAUUGGGCGUAAAGAGCUCGUAGGCGGUUUGUCGCGUCGGCCGUGAAAUCUCCACGCUUAACGUGGAGCGUGCGGUCGAUACGGGCGAGACUUGAGUUCGGUAGGGGAGACUGGAAUUCCUGGUGUAGCGGUGGAAAUGACGCAGAUAUCAGGAGGAACACCGGUGGCGAAGGCGGUUCUCUGGGCAUUACCUGACGCUGAGGAGCGAAAGCGUGGGGAGCAAACAGG